rnacentral:rRNA from 1 species
GACGAACGCUGGCGGCGUGCUUAACACAUGCCAGUCGAACGAAAAGAGGGAAAGAGCUUGCUCUUUCCGGAAUUGAGUGGCAAACGGGUGAGUAACACGUAAACAACCUGCCUUCAGGAUGGGGACAACAGACGGAAACGACUGCUAAUACCGAAUAAGUUCCAAGAGCCGCAUGGCCCAUGGAAGAAAAGGUGGCCUCUACCUGUAAGCUAUCGCCUGAAGAGGGGUUUGCGUCUGAUUAGCUGGUUGGAGGGGUAACGGCCCACCAAGGCGACGAUCAGGAGCCGGUCUGAGAGGAUGAACGGCCACACUGGAACUGAGACACGGUCCAGACUCCUACGGGAGGCAGCAGUGGGGAAUCUUCCGCAAUGGGCGAAAGCCUGACGGAGCAACGCCGCGUGAGUGAUGACGGCCUUCGGGUUGUAAAACUCUGUGAUCCGGGACGAAAAGGCAGAGUGCGAAGAACAAACUGCAUUGACGGUACCGGAAAAGCAAGCCACGGCUAACUACGUG